GGUGGGUCCCAGUGCAGUGGUGUUUGCAACUAAUUCAUCACAACCAGUUACGGGUUUCUUUGUUCCUUCUCCACUCCCACUGCUUCGCUUGACCUAGUAAAA
rnacentral:Y_RNA from 1 species